rnacentral:rRNA from 2 species
GCUGGCGGCGUGCCUAAUACAUGCAAGUCGAGCGAACAGAUGAGAAGCUUGCUUCUCUGAUGUUAGCGGCGGACGGGUGAGUAACACGUGGGUAACCUACCUAUAAGACUGGGAUAACUCCGGGAAACCGGGGCUAAUACCGGAUAAUAUUUUGAACCGCAUGGUUCAAUAGUGAAAGACGGUUUCGGCUGUCACUUAUAGAUGGACCCGCGCCGUAUUAGCUAGUUGGUAAGGUAACGGCUUACCAAGGCGACGAUACGUAGCCGACCUGAGAGGGUGAUCGGCCACACUGGAACUGAGACACGGUCCAGACUCCUACGGGAGGCAGCAGUAGGGAAUCUUCCGCAAUGGGCGAAAGCCUGACGGAGCAACGCCGCGUGAGUGAUGAAGGUCUUCGGAUCGUAAAACUCUGUUGUUAGGGAAGAACAAAUUUGUUAGUAACUGAACAAGUCUUGACGGUACCUAACCAGAAAGCCACGGCUAACUACGUGCCAGCAGCCGCGGUAAUACGUAGGUGGCAAGCGUAUCCGGAAUUAUUGGGCGUAAAGCGCGCGUAGGCGGUUUCUUAAGUCUGAUGUGAAAGCCCACGGCUCAACCGUGGAGGGUCAUUGGAAACUGGGAAACUUGAGUGCAGAAGAGGAGAGUGGAAUUCCAUGUGUAGCGGUGAAAUGCGCAGAGAUAUGGAGGAACACCAGUGGCGAAGGCGGCUCUCUGGUCUGUAACUGACGCUGAUGUGCGAAAGCGUGGGGAUCAAACAGGAUUAGAUACCCUGGUAGUCCACGCCGUAAACGAUGAGUGCUAAGUGUUAGGGGGUUUCCGCCCCUUAGUGCUGCAGCUAACGCAUUAAGCACUCCGCCUGGGGAGUACGACCGCAAGGUUGAAACUCAAAGGAAUUGACGGGACCCGCACAAGCGGUGGAGCAUGUGGUUUAAUUCGAAGCAACGCGAAGAACCUUACCAAAUCUUGACAUCCUUUGACCGCUCUAGAGAUAGAGUCUUCCCCUUCGGGGGACAAAGUGACAGGUGGUGCAUGGUUGUCGUCAGCUCGUGUCGUGAGAUGUUGGGUUAAGUCCCGCAACGAGCGCAACCCUUAAGCUUAGUUGCCAUCAUUAAGUUGGGCACUCUAAGUUGACUGCCGGUGACAAACCGGAGGAAGGUGGGGAUGACGUCAAAUCAUCAUGCCCCUUAUGAUUUGGGCUACACACGUGCUACAAUGGAUAAUACAAAGGGCAGCGAAUCCGCGAGGCCAAGCAAAUCCCAUAAAAUUAUUCUCAGUUCGGAUUGUAGUCUGCAACUCGACUACAUGAAGCUGGAAUCGCUAGUAAUCGUAGAUCAGCAUGCUACGGUGAAUACGUUCCCGGGUCUUGUACACACCGCCCGUCACACCACGAGAGUUUGUAACACCC